rnacentral:misc_RNA from 1 species
GAUGAAGAACGUAGCGAAAUGCGAUAAGUAAUGUGAAUUGCAGAAUUCCGUGAAUCAUCGAAUCUUUGAACGCACAUUGCGCCCCCUGGCAUUCCGGGGGGCAUGCCUGUCCGAGCGUCAUUUCUGCCCUCCAGCCCGGCUGGGUGUUGGGCGCUGUCCCCCCGGGGACACGCCCCAAAGGCAGUGGCGGCGCCGCGUCGGGUCCUCGAGCGUAUGGGGCUUCGUCACCCGCUCUUGUAGGCCCGGCCGGCGCUUGCCGACACAUCAAUCUUUUUUCCAGGUUGACCUCGGAUCAGGUAGGGAUACCCGCUGAACUUAAGCAUAUCAAUAAGCGGAGGA